CAAGAUAUAAUUUAAAUAGAAUACUAGCUUUGGGGGUUAGUUGUGGAAGUUAAAUUCUUUCUAUCUUGA
rnacentral:tRNA from 1 species